rnacentral:lncRNA from 1 species
AGGCAAGUUACAGAAGAGCCUGGACCAUGCAGUUGGCUCAUCAGGUAGACAUUAACUUCUGCAAUGUGCUGGACGCUCUUUUAAGUUUACAGGCAUAAACUUACCAGAAAUUGGAGCAUUAUGGUAACAAUUUUGAAGCAAGUUCCAUCAUGUUAAAGCAAAGAAAAAAAAAAAGAAGAAGAAACACAUAAAGCUAAGAAAACAAGCUUACCUAAUGAAAAUAGUAAUA